CCUCUACACUCUCUGAGCCAAGCAUCCCCAGGCUCUGCGGGGAUGACGGCUGCCUCCUGGGGCUGAGGUAACUGCCAGCUGCCGGCCACGUACCUGACCCAGGGACUGUCCAGCAGGCCUUGGCCCAUGGCCCCCUAGCUCUCUGCAACUAUCUUGUUUCCUCUGCGUCUCCCGCCCUGGAUGGUGAAACUGAAACGUACUGUCAGAUGACCUCACAGCAAGAAGAAGCAAGCAGCCUGAUUCAUGAGACAUGAAGCUGUCCAGUCAUGUGCGACUCUUUGCCAUCCCAUGGACUAUAGCUUCCAGGCAAGAGGACUGGAGUGGGUUGCCAUUUCCUUCUCCAGCAGAUCUUCCUGACCCAGGGAUUGAACGUGGGUCUCCCGCAUUGCAUGCUUUACCCCCUGAGCCACGAGGGAAGCCCCAAUGUAUGCGUUUUAUACUGUUUGCAGUUUUACAGUGAAUAUGCAGCAGAUCAAUGCUGGUGUUUUUAUCUGGAGCAAACAAGUUGGCCACGGACUUGUGGCUUGAAGAAUCAGUGGCAAUUCCCAGUAAUAAAGGAGGAGUGAACUGCGGGGAAAGAUGGCAGUUUAACCUGGCGCAUGGGAGGCUUCUGUGGAGCCCACCCUUAGGAGAAAGAAACUGAGGCGAGUCUACGGCCGUACCACCCUGAAAGCGCCCGAUCUUGUCUGAUGGAAGCUAAGCAGGGUCGGGCCUGGUUAGUACUUGGAUGGGAGAAACUGAGGCAAAAGAGAGUCAAGGUGGGGGCCAAGUGGCAGGGCUGAGGAAGGGGACACACUACAACCCACAGUCAAG